rnacentral:miRNA from 1 species
GAUCGGUCGAUCGGUCGAUCUGUCGAUUGGUUGAUCGGUCGAUCGGUCGAUCGGUCGGUAGG